rnacentral:rRNA from 1 species
ACGCACGCUGGCGGCGUGCCUAAUACAUGCAAGUAGAACGCUGAAGAGAGGAGCUUGCUCUUCUUGGAUGAGUUGCGAACGGGUGAGUAACGCGUAGGUAACCUGCCUUGUAGCGGGGGAUAACUAUUGGAAACGAUAGCUAAUACCGCAUAACAAUGGAUGACACAUGUCAUUUAUUUGAAAGGGGCAAUUGCUCCACUACAAGAUGGACCUGCGUUGUAUUAGCUAGUAGGUGAGGUAACGGCUCACCUAGGCGACGAUACAUAGCCGACCUGAGAGGGUGAUCGGCCACACUGGGACUGAGACACGGCCCAGACUCCUACGGGAGGCAGCAGUAGGGAAUCUUCGGCAAUGGGGGCAACCCUGACCGAGCAACGCCGCGUGAGUGAAGAAGGUUUUCGGAUCGUAAAGCUCUGUUGUAAGUCAAGAACGAGUGUGAGAGUGGAAAGUUCACACUGUGACGGUAGCUUACCAGAAAGGGACGGCUAACUACGUG